GAUGAACGCUGGCGGCGUGCCUAAUACAUGCAAGUCGAGCGAACGGACGAGAAGCUUGCUUCUCUGAUGUUAGCGGCGGACGGGUGAGUAACACGUGGAUAACCUACCUAUAAGACUGGGAUAACUUCGGGAAACCGGAGCUAAUACCGGAUAAUAUUUUGAACCGCAUGGUUCAAAAGUGAAAGACGGUCUUGCUGUCACUUAUAGAUGGGUCCGCGCUGCAUUAGCCAGUUGGUAAGGUAACGGCUUACCAAGGCAACGAUGCAUAGCCGACCUGAGAGGGUGAUCGGCCACACUGGAACUGAGACACGGUCCAGACUCCUACGGGAGGCAGCAGUAGGGAAUCUUCCGCAAUGGGCGAAAGCCUGACGGAGCAACGCCGCGUGAGUGAUGAAGGUCUUCGGAUCGUAAAACUCUGUUAUUAGGGAAGAACAUAUGUGUAAGUAACUGUGCACAUCUUGACGGUACCUAAUCAGAAAGCCACGGCUAACUACGUG
rnacentral:rRNA from 1 species